rnacentral:rRNA from 1 species
GACGAACGCUGGCGGCGUGCUUAACACAUGCAAGUCGAACGGAAAGGCCCUGCUUUUGUGGGGUGCUCGAGUGGCGAACGGGUGAGUAACACGUGAGUAACCUGCCCUUGACUUUGGGAUAACUUCAGGAAACUGGGGCUAAUACCGGAUAGGAGCUCCUGCUGCAUGGUGGGGGUUGGAAAGUUUCGGCGGUUGGGGAUGGACUCGCGGCUUAUCAGCUUGUUGGUGGGGUAGUGGCUUACCAAGGCUUUGACGGGUAGCCGGCCUGAGAGGGUGACCGGCCACAUUGGGACUGAGAUACGGCCCAGAAUCCUACGGGAGGCAGCAGUGGGAAAUAUUGCACAAUGGGCGGAAGCCUGAUGCAGCAACGCCGCGUGCGGGAUGACGGCCUUCGGGUUGUAAACCGCUUUCGCCUGUGACGAAGCGUGAGUGACGGUAAUGGGUAAAGAAGCACCGGCUAACUACGUG